UGCGUAGGUGGUCGGGUAAGUCUGAUGUGAAAUCUCGGAGCUCAACUCCGAAACGGCAUUGGAAACUACUCGGCUGGAGGGUUGGAGGGGGGGACUGGAAUUCUCGGUGUAGCAGUGAAAUGCGUAGAUAUCGAGAGGAACACCAGUGGCGAAGGCGAGUCCCUGGACAACUCCUGACACUAAGGCACGAAAGCUAGGGGAGCAAACA
rnacentral:rRNA from 1 species